CGCAAAUACAAUUAAAAAUCAGCGCAAACAAUGCACGAGGCGAGGACGAGGCAAUGGCAAGAGAGCGAACAGAAGAGAAGAAUAAGCAAACACACACACACAUAGGCUCUCGAUUGCACUCACAAACACGUGCCCCCAAACGAUCAAUGAAUGAAUAAAACUAAAACCGAACCAUCAAAAGUAAAAAAGAUGAAAAAGAAACAAAAAACGACAAAUGCGCAAAAGAGCGAAAAACGCAAACCAGAAGCAAAAAAAUCGAAAAACUUGUUUAGCAAAUAAGCAGAUGGGGGGAAGGGUGGAAGUUGUCUCUUCUACCUUUGAGAGUGUAACAUGUGGGAUUAGUGUACAAUGUGAGUCAAGACUUGGGUACUCUCAAAACAAAGAUGACGAAACGGAACAAAAAUGAUGAAUAAUGGGGGAAAAAGGUGCUUGUUGAAACGUGUUAAAAAGGCGGCGAAAGUCAAUUGCCUUUGUCUCUCAAACAUGCCAGUCGCUUGCGGCGAAAGCCAGCGGAUUUUGUGUAGAUGAAAGGAAAUGAAUUGUAGCAACUUUACGCUGUGUAGAAGCGGCGAAUUCGAUUUGCUUGUAACUGUAUGCAAAACUGCGUAAGUAUGGCAGCCUUUUGAGCUUGUAAAGUGCGGCGAAUAACAUGAUGUAAAUAAAUAACUCAACUGUGGCAACGCUUUAGGCUACGUCUUUGCAAUUAUAUUAUAAGAGCGACCUUAUGCAUUAGCAAAUGAGUGUGUGAAUUCAGGCAACUCUUUAUAGUUUAAUUAAUGCAAGGCAGUGUAAUAAUGUUGUGUAAAUGAACUUCAUGAUAAAACGGAGUUAAAAUGUGCUCUCUCCCUCUGUCUAGUAGGUCUGAGCUUAGCUUAUGCUUACAUCAGUACAACAUCGGCUUACAAUUUCACUUCCUGCAUUAUGAUUCAAUUAUAUAUAAAAUAUAUGCAUAUAUACAUAAACAACAUAGAGUCGCAGAAAGAAAAAUAAACACUAUCAGCUGACAAGUAGAAUACCCAGCCGUGUAUUUAUUGUAAUUCGUUGAAGUUGGCGCUAGCGAGGGAUCGCAGUUACGGAAUUCUUCGAAUCCCAGCUAUAAACAUAAACAUAUAUCGCAUUGAUUGUCCAAAGUGAUUGAUAUAUAACUCUGUGUGUCUGGAGAGAAGCCCCUUCUGACAUGCUCGGAGCUUAGCAGCUUUAUUUACAACUGACAGUCAGCAGCACUUUCUAAUUUUUGGGCAUUAUGUCUCUAAUUUGACGUGUUGCUGUUGCUUGUUGAAAAGCAAAAGCAAUUUUUGUUAACUGAUAAUUAGCGGCGACGACGAAGACGGCGACAGCAGUAGACAACACAGCGCGCUUUUAGCUCUAUCAGUUCCCAAACGCAACAACAACAAUAGCAGCAACAACAACAACCAUUGCGACGACUCACUCAUAUGACUUGGCAGACCACGAGACUUCAACACAUGGAGCCACAGUGGCAAAGUCGACAACGUUGGCAUUUAAAUAUGACUAUACUUUGCUAAAUGCAAGGGGUAUAUACAGCUAUAUUCUAUAUUCUACAUCUAUAUUCUAUAUUAUAUUUAAUUAGAUUAAGGCUGUGAAAUUUCUUUCUGAUUAGCAUUUAAAUAGGAUUAUACUCUGUAGAAUACAGUGCAAGCUGCCUUUAAUGCAAGCUACAUUUUCUAUUAUAGUUAACUGAUAAGCCAUUAGAAAGGCUUUUAAUCUGCUUUGACCAUGACAAA